rnacentral:lncRNA from 1 species
UCAAUUCUAUCUAGUAGUGAGAUAUACAAUGAUCUCUAACAAAGUAUCAUUGAAACUCUUUUCAAUGGGUCGAAACAAUUCCACCCUAACUUAUCAAGGAUUGUCGAUCCAGAAUAAUCCUAGUGAGCUCUCACAAUCCAUGAGUGACACCUAGCAGUAUAUAGUGGCAACCCAGUAGAACUGAAAUAAAUCUUUAGGUGUAGUUAACAUAUGAUUCAGUCUCUCUAUCAUGAGUUCUGACUUGAUGAUAGGUCAUGAAUAAAUCAUCAAA